AGUUUGAUCCUGGCUCAGGAUGAACGCUGGCGGCGUGCCUAAUACAUGCAAGUCGAGCGCAUCGGCCCAACUGAUUGAAGAUGCUUGCAUCCGAUUGACGAUGGUUUACCGAUGAGCGGCGGACGGGUGAGUAACACGUAGGUAACCUGCCCAGAAGCGGGGGAUAACACCUGGAAACAGAUGCUAAUACCGCAUAGGUCAUUUGACCGCAUGGUCAAAUGAUUAAAGAUGGCUCUGCUAUCACUUCUGGAUGGACCUGCGGCGUAUUAGCUAGUUGGUAAGGUAACGGCUUACCAAGGCRAUGAUACGUAGCCGAGUUGAGAGACUGAUCGGCCACAUUGGGACUGAGACACGGCCCAGACUCCUACGGGAGGCAGCAGUAGGGAAUCUUCCACAAUGGACGCAAGUCUGAUGGAGCAACGCCGCGUGAGCGAAGAAGGUCUUCGGAUCGUAAAACUCUGUUGUUAGAGAAGAACACGGGUGAGAGUAACUGUUCACCUGUUGACGGUAUCUAACCAGCAAGUCACGGCUAACUACGUGCCAGCAGCCGCGGUAAUACGUAGGUGGCAAGCGUUAUCCGGAUUUAUUGGGCGUAAAGGGAACGCAGGCGGUUCUUUAAGUCUGAUGUGAAAGCCUUCGGCUUAACCGAAGAUGUGCAUUGGAAACUGGGGAACUUGAGUGCAGAAGAGGAGAGUGGAACUCCAUGUGUAGCGGUGAAAUGCGUAGAUAUAUGGAAGAACACCAGUGGCGAAAGCGGCUCUCUGGUCUGUAACUGACGCUGAGGUUCGAAAGCGUGGGUAGCGAACAGGAUUAGAUACCCUGGUAGUCC
rnacentral:rRNA from 1 species